UGACCCCGCUUGCGUUCCAAAUCCCUAAGUGUGUACUUUCUUCAAUGUUUGUACCUCCAGAAGAAGUGUAAUAUUUAAAAACAUACUGUUCUUAUCCCAUUUCCCUUUGAGUCUGCUUUAACACUAUACACUGGUAUUUACUGUUUAAGUUUAUUAGAUGGAUUGUCUGAAUCAUGUGACAGUAAUUGACCAAUUAACUAAAAGACUGUCAGUUCACUUCACCUUUGAAAAAGCAGCAGUAUUGGGCUGUACUCCCUGGUCACCAAAAUUCUAAUGGAUGGAUUCAAUCAUUGCCUGAACCUUUCUAACCAUCAUUGGUCUUGGACUCUUUUACCAAAGGAUCGGAUUACACCUAAAGGACACCAUAACUCUGGUGAAGACCACGCAAGUUGCAGAUCUAUGCUUAUGCGACUUUUGUUUCCUCCACUGGUGGAAUUGUAUCACGAACCGUUUCCUGGGACUGCACCUUCAGUCUUAAGAAGUGCCGUUGUCCUUGUAUAAGCGCUACUGGUCCGGUAUAGUCAAUAGGUACAGGCCAAACCCAUACGAACAUUUAUGCCCGGAAGCACGCGACCACACAGUGGAGGGAGAUAAUCUAAAGAAGACCGUCAUGUGGUCCACGUGCGUUCCAUGGACCGGAAGCACGCGGCUGCUCCCGGGAGAAACUUGUGUGCAAAAAGCUUCACCGGACGGACGGAACUGUGUGUCACUUUGGGAGACGGGUUCCGCAGCCAGCUUCCUCGUAACAUCAAAGGCACAUAUUUCUUGAAAAUCCGGUAAACCUCCAACUUUACCUUUUUAUAUCAGGGGAUAUUUGAGCUGUAUUCUUUCCAGUGAGACUCAUUAUUCAACGCUGAUUUUAUUAUUAUUUGUGGUAAUUCUCCAUCUAUUACCUUUUAUGUAUUGGCAAUUUUUAUUUGUAUAUAUUAAAAUUACUUUUCUCUGAACCUA